UAGGGUGACCAAGUGUCUUGGUUUGCCUGAGACUGAGGAAUUUCUUAGGCUAAAGCUGGGAAAGUUCAGGACAAACCAGGAUGAGCUG
rnacentral:miRNA from 1 species